rnacentral:rRNA from 1 species
AGUGAACGCUGGCGGUAGGCCUAACACAUGCAAGUCGAACGGCAGCACAGUAAGAGCUUGCUCUUACGGGUGGCGAGUGGCGGACGGGUGAGGAAUACAUCGGAAUCUACUUUUUCGUGGGGGAUAACGUAGGGAAACUUACGCUAAUACCGCAUACGACCUACGGGUGGAAGCAGGGGAUCUUCGGACCUUGCGCGAUUGAAUGAGCCGAUGUCGGAUUAGCUAGUUGGCGGGGUAAAGGCCCACCAAGGCGACGAUCCGUAGCUGGUCUGAGAGGAUGAACAGCCACACUGGAACUGAGACACGGUCCAGACUCCUACGGGAGGCAGCAGUGGGGAAUAUUGGACAAUGGGCGCAAGCCUGAUCCAGCCAUACCGCGUGGGUGAAGAAGGCCUUCGGGUUGUAAAGCCCUUUUGUUGGGAAAGAAAAGCAGCAGGUUAAUACCCCGCUGUUCUGACGGUACCCAAAGAAUAAGCACCGGCUAACUUCGUG